rnacentral:rRNA from 1 species
GACGAACGCUGGCGGCGUGCUUAACACAUGCAAGUCGAACGGAAAGGCCCUGCUUUUGUGGGGUGCUCGAGUGGCGAACGGGUGAGUAACACGCGAGUAACCUGCCCUUGACUUUGGGAUAACCUCAGGAAACUGGGGCUAAUACCGGAUAGGAGCUCCUGCUGCAUGGUGGGGGUUGGAAAGUUUCGGCGGUUGGGGAUGGACUCGCGGCUUAUCAGCUUGUUGGUGGGGUAGUGGCUUACCAAGGCCUUGACGGGUAGCCGGCCUGGGAGGGUGACCGGGCACAAUGGGACUGAGGUACGGCCCAGACUCCUACGGGACGCAGCGGUGGGGAAUAUUGCACAAUGGGCGGAAGCCUGAUGCGGCAACGCCGCGUGCGGGAUGACGGCCUUCGGGUUGUAAACCGCUUUCGCCUGUGACGAAGCGUGAGUGACGGUAAUGGGUAAAGAAGCACCGGCUAACUACGUG